CGACCCCAGGUCAGGCGGGAUUACUCGCUGAGUUUAAGCAUAUCAAUAAGAGUAGGAAAAGAAACUUACCAGGAUUCCCUUCGUAACGGCGAGUGAACGGGUAAAAGCCCAGCUUGAGAAUCGGUCGCCAUCGGCAUCCGAAUUGUAGUCUGGAGAAGCGUCCUCAGCGAUGGACCGGGCCCAAGUCCCCUGGAAAGGGGCGCUGGAGAGGGUGAGAGCCCCAGUGUGCUCGGACCCUAUCGCACCACGUGGCACUGUCUACGAGUCGAGUUGUUUGGGAAUGCAGCCCUAAUCGGGCGAUAAAUUCUAUCCAAGGCUAAAUACAGGCGAGAGACCUAUAGCGAACAAGUACUGCGACGAAAAGAGAGUCAAAGAGUGCUUGAAAUUUUUAGGAGGGAAGCGAGCGGGGGCCAGCUAUGCACCCCGGUCGGAUGUGGAACUGCGAGAGCCAGUCCGUCGAUCGGCUCGAGCCGUGGACUGACGCGGGUCAUGGCGGUGGCCGAAGCCCGGGCCUUUGAUACGCCCGUGGAGACGUCGUUGCCUCGAUCAUGGGAUUCAACACGCGUCGUCUCAGCGUGCUUCGGCAGCUGCGUGCUCCGGACGUCGGCCUGCGGGCUCUCCAUUCGGCUCGUCUUGAAACAUGGACCAAGGAGUCUGACAUGUGUGCGAGUCAAUGGGCUAAAAAACCCGUAAGGCUCAAGGAAGCUGAUAGAAGAGAUCCCUCGCGAGUGCACCGCCGACCAACCUUGAUCUUCUGAGAAGGGUUCGAGUGAGAGGAUGCCCUGUCAGGACCCGAAAAUGGUGAACUAUUUGGCGGGGUGAAGCGGAGGAAACUCGUGGAGGCCCACAGCGACAUCGACGAUGCAAAUUGUUCGUCUCGACUUGGGUAUAGCGGCGAAAGACUAAUCGAACUGCCUAGUAGUGGUUCCUCCAAGUUUCCUCGUGGUAGUUGGAGCCCUUAGCGAGUUCUAUCGGGUAAAGCCAAUGAUUAGAGGCAUCGGGGGCGCAAUGCCCUCAACCUAUUCUUAAACUUUAAAUAGAACGGAAUCGAGAGCUCCAAGUGGGCCAUUUUUGUAAGCGUAAUCGGUGAUACGGAUGAAUCGAAGUCGUUACUGUGCUCAAUCGCAAGGCUAACCUAGAACCCACAAAGGGUGUUGGUCGACUAAGACAGCAAGACGGUGGUCAUGGAAGUCGAAAUCUGCUAAGGAGUGUGUAUCAACUCACCUGCCGAAUCAACUAGCAUCGAAAAUGGAUGGCGCUUAAGCGCGCGACCUAUACCCGGCCGUCGAGGUAAGGGCUAGGCCCCGAUGAGUAGGAGGGCGCCGUGGUUGCCGCAAAACCCGGGGUGCGAGCCUGGGCGGAUUGGCCGUCGGUGCAGAUCUUGGUGGUACUAGCAUAUAUUUAAAUGAAAACUUUGAAGGCCGAAGAGGGGAAAGCUUAGGUUAGUCGAUCUUAAGAGAUGGGGGAAGCCCGUCCGAUAGCGCGUCUAGCGCGAGCUACGAAAGGGUAUCAGGUUAAAAUUCCUGAACAGGGAUGCGACGGCUGACGGCAACGUUAGGAAGUCUGAACACGUCAGCGGGGGCCUCGGGAAGAGUUAUCUUUUCUGUUUAACGACCUGCCCACCCUGGAAACGGCCCAACUAGAGGUAGGGUCCAGCGGCUGGAAGAGCACCGCACGUCAAUUUAGGAACUGGAGGACCGAAAGUGCCGCCCGCACCUUGGCCAUACUCAUAAUCAUGUCAGUCUCCAAGGUGAACGACCUACCGUCAAUGGAACAAUAUAGGAAGGGAAGUCAAGAAAUGGAUCCGUAAUUCGGAAAAGGAUUGGCCCCGAGGGUCGGGCACAAGGUCCCGAUCCCAACCCGCUUACCGUUUGCAUCGCUUGAGCCGCCCCGUGGAGAGAAAGGGUCGCCACGCGCGGCCGGGGACGGAUCGAACGGCUCCUCGGGGGCUUCCCGAGCGAUUUAACAAUCGACUUCGAAUCGGUACGGACAAGGGGAAUCCUUUGUUUAAUUAAAACAAAGCAUUGCGAUGGUCCUGCGGAUGCUCACGUAAUGUGAUUUCUGCAAAGGCUCAAUGUCAAAGUGAAGAAAUUCAACCAAGCGCGGUAAACGGAGGAGUAAUUAUGACUCUCUUAAGGUAGCCAAAUACCUCGCCAUCUAAUUAGUGACGUCUAUGAAUGGAUUAACGAGAUUCCUACCGUCCCUCGCUACUAUCCAAUGAAACCACGACCAAGGAACAGGCUUGGCGAGUAAUCGAAGGGGAAAGAAGACCCUGUUGAGCUUGACUCUAGUCUGACUUUGUGAAAUGACUUAAGAAGUGUAGGAUAAGUGGGAGCUCUCGACCGAAAUUGAAAUACCACUACUUUUAACGAUAUUUUACUUAUUACGUGAAUCGGAGAUGGGGCACGACCCCUCUUUUUGGACUCAAGGCCGGCUUCAACCGGCUGAUCUAGGCAGAAGACAUUAUCAGGUAGGGAGUUUGGCUGGGGCAGCACAUCUGUUAAAAGAUAACGCAGGUGUCCUAAGAUGAGCUCAACAAGAAUAGAAAUCUAGUGUGAAACAAAAGGGUAAAAGCUCGUUUGAUUCUGAUUUCCAGUACGAAUACGAACCGUGAAAGCAUGGCCUAUCGAUCUUUUAGACCAUCGAAAUUUGAAGCUAGAGGUGUCAAAAAAGUUACCACAGGGAUAACUGGCUUGUAGUAGCCAAGCGUUCAUAGCGACGUUACUUUUUGAUCCUUCGAUGUCGGCUCUUCCUAUCAUUGUGAAGCAGAAUUCACCAAGUGUUGGAUUGUUCACCCACCAAUAGGGAACAUGAGCUGGGUUUAGACCGUUGUGAGACAAUUUAGUUUUACCCUGCUGAUGGCCAUGUCGCAAUAGUAAUUCAACCUAGUACGAGAGAAACCUUUGAUUUGAACAAUUGGUCAUCGCGCUUGGUUGAAAAGCCAGUGGCGCGAAGCUACCGUGCGCUGGAUUAUGACCGAACGCCUCUAAGUUAGAGUCCGGGAUAGAAGCGAUGCACACGCCCGUCACCUGAUUGCCGACCUGCAGUAAGGGCCUCUAACCCCCAAGGGCACGUGUCGUAGGUGCAGCGCCGCGGCGGACAAGUCGUGGGUGCCUCCCUGGAGCGUAAUUCCCACCGAGUGGCGGGUAGAAUCCUUUGCAGACGACUUAAAUAUGUGACAGGGUAUUGUAAGUGGCAGAGUGGCCUUGCUACCACGAUCCACUGAGAUUCAGCCCUUUGUCGCUUCGAUUCGU